CCUACGGGUGGCAGCAGUAGGGAAUUUUGCGCAAUGGGCGAAAGCCUGACGCAGCAACGCCGCGUGAUUGAUUAAGCCCUUCGGGGUGUAAAGAUCUGUCAGCAGGGACGAAACGUGACGGUACCCACCGAGGGAGCACCGACUAACUCCGUGCCAGCAGCAGCGGUAAGACGGAGGGUGCCAGCGUUGGCCGGAAUGAUGGGGCGGACAGAGUUCGUAGGUGGCAUAUUAAGUCUGGUGUUAAAUGCUGACGCUCAACUUCUGUUCGGCACUGGAUACUGGUAAGCUUGAAUGCGUUAGAGGUAAGUGGAAUUCCUGGUGUAGCGGUGAAAUGCGUAGAUAUCAGGAGGAACAUCGGUGGCGAAAGCGAUUUACUGGGACGUAAUUGACGCUGAGGAACGAAAGCCGGGGUAGCAAAUGGGAUUAGAUACCCUAGUAGUC
rnacentral:rRNA from 1 species